AUCUCAGCUUCUCAUUCUCUCUCUAAAAAGUUUGAUCUUCCAUUUCUCUCUGCCUUCUCUCUACCAUUCCCUCACAUUUAGUGGUUGCAUGUUGGAUUAGGUGGUGCUCAAGUGACCACGGCAUAGAGACCUUCGCAACCAUCCGAAUAGAUUUUCAUUCUUCAGCGGGUUGUAGGGUGCUGUCUAGAUUAUUCGCGUGUGAGGUACUGUAGUUGCGGGUCUUUGAGUUGAACAAAGAAGUUUCAAGGUAAGGGGAGCUAGAAUACAGUAUGAUCGUGGUAAUGUUAUUAUACUGAAAGUAUGUGAAUGUAUGAGACAUGUUUGGUGGUUGAAUGUAACAAAUAUGUGUAAUUGACGUAAUUCCAUGGAUCUCAAGGGAGGUCACAUAGUGGUGCCCUAUGUGUAAUGGAUGUAAUUCCAUGGCCUCAAGGUGAGGAUUCAUGGUGGUGCCCUCAGUGUUUGGAAUGAAUGCAUGGUAGUUAAGUUUUGGGGGUUUUCCUGACGCUCCAAUGGUCUUUCAUUCUUAAGUAGAGAGGAUUGAUCCAUGUGGUGAGGAGUAGCAGGAGGUCCUAGUCUUGGGUGCUUCCAGUAUGGCCCAAGGUAAGUGAUAACGGACUAACCUCGUGAGUGUGGUAGGGUGAAACCCAUUGGCAAUGGCUUUGCAAAGCAGUAGAGGCCACCACGAGUGCAUAACCCGCCAUAGCUCGGCAAUCAUUCUAGUUCGGAUGAGUCAAGUGUAAAGUGUAAGAAGUUAUGUUGCGUGGUCUAAUAUAUCUGCCUUUAAUUGCAUAUUGUGUGUGAUUGGUAUAACAUGAUUUUUGUAUAUCUAGCUCACCCUUGCUUGUGUGUUUGUGUUUGCUUGGGUAUGCUUUCUUUUGCAAUGAUCAUCCACUUGGAUGUGAGCAGAGACGGAUGAGGUGCCUCUAGAGCAGGCUUUGGAGGAAGACAAUGUUGCUGCUUAGUUCAUUAGGAAUUUAAGUGUUUCCUUAUCUUUCAAAACACUCUAGUAUGUCAAGUUUUAAAUUCUGAAGACCCUUUUGAGGAUGACUGUAAUCCUAAUUACUCUUGAUUGUUUUCCUAUAUUAUGCAUGAUGACGUUUUUA
rnacentral:sRNA from 1 species